UACGGAGGGUGCAAGCGUUAUCCGGAAUCAUUGGGUUUAAAGGGUCCGCAGGCGGAUUUAUAAGUCAGUGGUGAAAGCCUGAUGCUCAACAUCAGAACUGCCAUUGAUACUGUAAGUCUUGAAUUCGAUCGAAGUGGGCGGAAUAUGACAUGUAGCGGUGAAAUGCUUAGAUAUGUCAUAGAACACCGGUAGCGAAGGCAGCUCACUAGGUCUGGAUUGACGCUCAGGGACGAAAGCGUGGGGAGCAAACAGG
rnacentral:rRNA from 1 species